rnacentral:rRNA from 1 species
CUUCCGUAAGGGGAACCUGCGGAAGGAUCAUUACUGAUUUGCUUAAUUGCACCACAUGUGUUUUUCUUUGAAACAAACUUGCUUUGGCGGUGGGCCCAGCCUGCCGCCAGAGGUCUAAACUUACAACCAAUUUUUUAUCAACUUGUCACACCAGAUUAUUACUUAAUAGUCAAAACUUUCAACAACGGAUCUCUUGGUUCUCGCAUCGAUGAAGAACGCAGCGAAAUGCGAUACGUAAUAUGAAUUGCAGAUAUUCGUGAAUCAUCGAAUCUUUGAACGCACAUUGCGCCCUCUGGUAUUCCGGAGGGCAUGCCUGUUUGAGCGUCGUUUCUCCCUCAAACCGCUGGGUUUGGUGUUGAGCAAUACGACUUGGGUUUGCUUGAAAGACGGUAGUGGUAAGGCGGGAUCGCUUUGACAAUGGCUUAGGUCUAACCAAAAACAUUGCUUGCGGCGGUAACGUCCACCACGUAUAUCUUCAAACUUUGACCUCAAAUCAGGUAGGACUACCCGCUGAACUUAAGCAUAUCAAUAAGCGGAGGAAAA